rnacentral:lncRNA from 1 species
UGUGAUAGUAUCGAGGAAUCAUAGUGUUUUAUAGAUUCAUAGAUUAUAGGGGCAAUUGUUUAUACAUUUCUGAAAAGUUUCCGACUUUCUAAUUUAUUCCUCUUAGAAGGAUAAUAUUGAAAAUAUUAUUUUUACGUUCCAACCUAUUUCAAAUAUACCCCUAGAGUUAAAAUCUGUUAAUGAAUUCUCUUAUCUGUAUAAAAUUACUAUUUUGCCCUUUCAAAUAUACCCUUUUACCAUCACCGACUUUUCUUAUUUGUCCUUAAGUCAGGGGCACAAAAAGUAUUUUGACUUUUGAUUUUUUCAAAUAUAUCCCUCUACCGUCACCAACAUUUCUUAUUUACCCUCAAGUUAAGGACAAAAUUGGUAUUUUAAUUUUUUUAACUGCUGUAGAUAUUUAACUCACGUUUAAUACAAGUUAACUUAACAGGGGAUAACUGCGAGGGUAUUUUGUAAUAACGGUGGAACAUAUGAGAGGUAUUUUAGAAAGAAAAAAUAGAGAGAUAAAUCGGAUAUUUUCAAACGUACGAGAAGUAUAUAGACGAUUAUCUCUAGAUUAUAGAUGUCACAUGAUUUGGCAUGUCAAUAAUAUAUGUGAGGACAAUUUUGUGGUGUGGGAAUCCAAGACAUAUUGGAGCUUGAUUAAAGGUGACGUGCACACUAAUAAAUUAUAUUUUAAAAAUUUUACUAUAAUUGUAAUUUUUUUUCUGCUAUCUAGUAUGCCCAUCUAAAAUUAUAAUCACAUUAAUUAAAAAUUAUAAUUAAGAUCAUAAU